rnacentral:rRNA from 1 species
AUACGGAGGGUGCAAGCGUUAAUCGGAAUUACUGGGCGUAAAGCGUGCGUAGGCGGUUUGUUAAGUCAGAUGUGAAAGCCCCGGGCUCAACCUGGGAACUGCAUUUGAUACUGGCAGACUAGAGUAUGGUAGAGGGGGGUAGAAUUUCUGGUGUAGCGGUGAAAUGCGUAGAUAUCAGAAGGAAUACCGGUGGCAAAGGCGGCCCCCUGGACCAAUACUGACGCUGAUGUACGAAAGCGUGGGGAGCGAACAGGAUUAGAUACCCGAGUAGUCC